AUGCUGUGUUACCAAAGGUGCCUUUUAAACAAUAUUGAUAGAAACUCAGGGGGCAAUAGUACUGACCCUGUGUGUGGAAAUAUCCAUGAAGUAGGGAAUCAUCCGUACUGUACCGACUAUGGUAACCACGGGAAUGCUAAUAUGCAUAAUGCACACCAGAUGCAACAUGAGAAUCCUGUAACCAGAUGGCCUGUCCUGAAUGGCAAGGGGUGGUACUGGCUAUAUGGCAAUAAAGCUAGGAAGGUGUUGCCCCUAGGAUGGAAGGGAGCUUGCACCCUGGAGGCGAUAAUUCCAAAUGUAACUAUUAUUGAAGACCCACAAAGCCAAAGCCCCCUUGAGACCACACGCAGAAUUAAGUGGACUCCAGAUAAUCCUUUAGUAAAACUCUCUAGCAUUUUACAGUUUUGCAAGGUGUUUUUUACCUUGGUUAAGGGUGAGUGAAUUUGAAAAAGCUAUUGUAAACAUCUCAAAACACAAAAAUAUUGUAAAAAUAUUGAAGAUCUAGAAAAUAAGAUAAAGUUUGCAAAAAUAGUACUCUAGAAUCAAAGAGUAUUAGAUUUAUUAAUAACCUCAUAAGGAGAAGCAUGCCCUAUAAUUAAUACUAGUUUCUGUAUAUAUGUAGAUCAAAUGGGAAGAAUUUCACUGAUCUAAAAAAUUAUUUGGGAAAACCAAAACCAAACCAAAACAAGCAAACAAACAAACAAACAAAAAACCACAAGAUCCUACAUAGAGUAACUCAAGAUGACACUUCCUUGGGAUUUAGAAACAUUUGGGAGAAACUAAUUUUGUAAUUGGCUGAAUAGAAGUGGUUCACACAACUAUUUGUUAGUAUUGUAAAAUAAUGGCAUUGUAUAUGUAUCAUCCCCCGUGAUAUCCGAAGAAGAAUAUUGCACCUUAAUGUUGGAAAAACUCAAGAGUGCGGUAUGUGAAGAAGUGCAAAAACAACAAUAGGAGUAAGAUAAGAGGAGGGAGGAACUGUGAGAAACAAAGUUCUAUUUUUGCAGUAGAGAAUUAUUUUUCUGUAUUCCAAGGUGAUUGUGUAGUCAUAAUAAGGAGAAAUGCUAAGUAGAUAAGUGGACCGUAGAAGGCAUCACUGUUCCAAGAUAAGGUAGAAGCUUGAGGAAAACAGGAUGAGCAUUGCGAGAACAGGAGAACAAAGAUCAAAAGUUCUCAAAACAUAAGAAAGGAGAAAUUAAAGGGUUGGAAAAAAAAAAAAAAGAAGAAGAAAGAAAAAUUAUACAUAUAUAGUAUUGAGGAGCAUUGAGUAGCUUGUGAACCUGUAGUACUCAGCCAAAGAGGAAACAGGGGGGGUGAUCAGGUGUUGGGUAAUAGGGAAUAAAAGGUUAGGAUUUGUUUACUGAAAUGUGCUCCAUAUUGACAGGACCACUGCAAUUGCAAGUAAAAUAGGUUCAGAGAAGAUCCAGUCUGAAGAAAAUUAUUUGAGAUGUUUCUCACACGGGGAAAUGGAGAAAGUCACAGAGAGGAGGUAAGAUUUUGGAAUCGUAAAUUUAGGGGCAGUGAGUGGCAAAGGACAUGAGUUGGUGCAUGAGUCGUUGCGUGCUGCGUCCCCUGUGUCCCAUGGGAAACCACCCGGAAAACAGGAGAGGGAGGACGUGCAGGAGAAGGAGGUGUGCUGGGAGUGGGAGCCCUCUCUGCAGCAUUCGGGCAGGAGAAGAAGAGCCAAAAAUGGCAGUCAAGGCAGCGCCCAUAUUGUGUGAAAGAACCAAAGGGAAAGUGAAACCCAGCAGGGACCGAGCUGUGGGCUCUGGUCCCCCUACCCUGGAGCCGCUCCCCUGCCCUAUGGCAGCCCAUAUGCAUGCACAGGGGGGAGAGCCCCCAGCAUCCCUGCAGGAUCCUACCUGAGCCCAGCUGGAGGAGGAGCAGAGUGACGAGGGAAGUCAGGAAGCCGCUGGCAUGGCCGGUGAGGCUGGGGCGGCCGCAGAACCUGUAGAGCCCCAUCUGUGCUGCAGUGGGAGCAGGAUCUGGGGGUAGAAGAGUAAGGUACUGAGGGGCUGCAGGCUUGGGCACAAGGAGCCACGGCCAGUAGCGCUUUGGGCAGGGUGCAGACCCUGCGCUUAUCAUGGGCUGGGAGACACAGAAGGCAGCCCCAGGUGUUCUUCUCCAAGGCAGUCUCACCAAAAUAGUUGUCCCUCUCAGCACGCACCAUAGCUGCAGGAACUAGAAGGCUACACGUGACUUCA
rnacentral:lncRNA from 1 species